rnacentral:rRNA from 1 species
AUACGUAGGUGACAAGCGUUAUCCGGAUUUACUGGGCGUAAAGGGCGUGUAGGCGGUCUUGCAAGUCAGAAGUGAAAUUCCUGAGCUCAACUCGGGCGCUGCUUCUGAAACUGCAGGACUUGAGUGCUGGAGGGGAUAGCGGAAUUCCUAGUGGAGCGGUAAAAUGCGCAGAUAUUAGGAAGAACACCGGGGGCGAAGGCGGCUAUCUGGACAGUAACUGACGCUGAGGCGCGAAAGCGUGGGGUGCAAACAGGAUGAGAUACCCUUGUAGUCCACGCCGUAAACGAUGAAUACUAGGUGUAGGGGGUAUCGACUCCCUCUGUGCCGCAGUUAACACAAUAAGUAUUCCGCCUGGGGAGUACGGCCGCAAGGUUGAAACUCAAAGGAAUUGACGGGG